UCGCACAUACAAAGGGAGUGGACGUAAACGUCGUCUUGUAGAGACUAAGGAUACUUUGAUGUAUGUUCCCAUUCUUGAAUCCCUACGUCUUCUGCUGAAGAGUAAAACACUGGUAUCUGAGGUGGACAGUGGUCACUCUGAUUCUUCUGGUUUUUUGCGUGACUAUUGUGAUGGCGAAAAUUUCAAAUCACAUCCACUGUUUUCUGUCCGGAAUGAUACUUUGCAGCUCAUACUGUACUAUGACGACUGUGUGGUUGUGAAUCCCCUCGGGUCGAACACAAACUAGGGUUCUUCUAUUAUACUCUUGGAAACCUUACUCCAAAACUGAGAUCCCAGUUAGGUUCAAUUCAACUCCUUGCAGUUGUGAAGACCAGGCUUAUCAAAAAGAGAAUGUAGGCGUGCUGGUGGAUAUCAACGGUUUUCCAAGGCGAUACUUUGGUACGAUAGCAUCAAUUUGUGGAGACAACCUUGGAAGUAAUGCUCUGGGGGAAGUUCUUUACUUGCGAAAUUAAUAUCUCUUGCAAGAUGGUUACGUCACCGCACGAGGCUAGUAUACGGAGGUAUGGGGAAAAGUUGGGGAAACAUUCCAAUAUUUCAUUGAACUUUGAAAGUCAAUUUUUCGAAACGCAUUUCUUUGAAGCCAUCUAACUAAAAACGCUACGCGAACGAUCUGCAUAUCAGUGUGUAGCUGUUGAAAUUCUUUAUAAGAUCAUACUACAAACUCGAUUUUGAUUAUCCCCGCGUUAAGGGCCCUUUUCCUAAGUACUAUCACAUAUGAAUGCCGUCAAAAGCAAGCUAAUAAGGAAGCGAGGUUGUGUAGUGCAUGUAGAAAAUAAUAAUUUAUGCUCCUGUAGUGGUUGGGCGUGGCCUGAUUUUGGGCCAUGCCCAUAUCAUGCAACUGCAUUGUAGUACUUUGGCUGACUCUGGCAAUGAUAUUCUUUAUUAAUACCAUACCCUCGCGAAAAUAAGCCCAUCUUGAAUAAACGCCCAUCCCCUCUUUUGCUUCGAAGUUCUUGCACAAGGGUAUUUUCACUCGAUUAUAAGCCCACCCAGAAUAAGAAGUUGAGCAUGCGCAGUAGCUGAAUGCCACAUGUUUACUAUUAAUUUUUGUGAAGAAAGGAAGUUUUAGGUAGUAGCUAGUAAGACUAUACUCCUUGCUGGACCAAGAUCAGACAUUAUAACUUUCUCUGUAUGGAUCUGUUUGCCCCUGAAGAUGUAUAUGCAGGGAACAAGUAGUCCUAUAUGCUGAGAAAGGAAACAGAAAGUCUAAGAAAGUUAUCACACAGGCUAAUUUUGCAGGUUACCUUGCCUUGGUUUUCUGAAACAAAGUACCUGAUAGCUGCUCUGUAGGAGUAUGACCUACCAUCCUUCGAGAAGUUUCUGCUACAUCUGACAUCAACAAGCAACGAAUAGAGUCAGAGUCCACUUCUUCAUGUUCAUUCUCUUGUCAUGCUUUAAUCAUACUCAUGCAUUAGUUUAUAACAUUGUUGUUGUCAAUAAAAUGUUCAUACUAUCUAUUAAAAUGAAAAUACAAUAAAUU